rnacentral:rRNA from 1 species
UACGGAAGGCAGCAGUGGGGAAUAUUGCACAAUGGGCGCAAGCCUGAUGCAGCCAUGCCGCAUGUAUGAAGAAGGCCUUCGGGUUGUAAAGUACUUUCAGUCGUGAGGAAGGUGUUAAGGUUAAUAACCUUAGCAAUUGACGUUAGCGACAGAAGAAGCACCGGCUAACUCCGUGCCAGCAGCCGCGGUAAUACGGAGGGUGCGAGCGUUAAUCGGAAUUACUGGGCGUAAAGGGCACGCAGGCGGUUAAUUAAGUUGGAUGUGAAAUCCCCCGGGCUUAACCUGGGAAUGGCAUUCAAGACUGGUUAGCUAGAGUCUUGUAGAGGGGGUAGAAUUCCAUGUGUAGCGGUGAAAUGCGUAGAGAUGUGGAGGAAUACCGGUGGCGAAGGCGGCCCCUGGACAAAGACUGACGCUCAUGUGCGAAAGCGUGGGGAGCAAACAGGAUUAGAUACC